rnacentral:lncRNA from 1 species
AGAAACCGCUGAGACCGACAUAUUUUUUGAGAACCAUGCUCGAAGCUGCAAAGAUGCAUAGGGCUGAAUCUGAUGAAGAUCUCGCCAUAAAAAUUAUAAGCUCCUGGCUCGCUGGAGCCAAAUUGAGAUUCGACAGAGAAACCGCCAAACUGGGAGUGAUUGAACCAGAACAAGAACAACGUGCGGAUUGAGAGUAUAUGACAAAACGUAACAUUUCUUCGUAAAUAUGGUGUAUAGCAAAAGACUGCCCUGUA